rnacentral:rRNA from 1 species
UUUCCAGAGAUGGAUUUGUGCCUUCGGGAACUGUGAGACAGGUGCUGCAUGGCUGUCGUCAGCUCGUGUUGUGAAAUGUUGGGUUAAGUCCCGCAACGAGCGCAACCCUUAUCCUUUGUUGCCAGCGAUUAGGUCGGGAACUCAAAGGAGACUGCCAGUGAUAAACUGGAGGAAGGUGGGGAUGACGUCAAGUCAUCAUGGCCCUUACGACCAGGGCUACACACGUGCUACAAUGGCGCAUACAAAGAGAAGCGA